rnacentral:rRNA from 1 species
UACGUAGGUGGCAAGCGUUAUCCGGAUUUAUUGGGCGUAAAGGGAACGCAGGCGGUCUUUUAAGUCUGAUGUGAAAGCCUUCGGCUUAACCGGAGUAGUGCAUUGGAAACUGGAAGUCUAGAGUGCAGGAGAGGAGAAUGGAAUUCCUAGUGUAGCGGUGAAAUGCGUAGAGAUUAGGAAGAACACCAGUGGCGAAGGCGAUUCUCUGGACUGUAACUGACGCUGAGGCUCGAAAGCGUGGGGAGCAAACAGG